rnacentral:lncRNA from 1 species
ACAAGGGACAGAACCCAGUUCAUGCUAACUUGGGCCCAAAAAGGAACUCUUUGUGGUAGUACAAGAUCAUCCCUUUUGAGGAGCCGACUAGGGUCAGGUAUGGGAUUGGCAAACAUAUCCUAAGCAAAAGAAGGAUUGAACAGUCAGCCUAGGGAGACCAGGAAUGCCCCUGGGCCUCAGGAACAUCUGAACCCAAGUCUCAAGUGCUGAACUUCAUAAGGAGGAAUCUGCCUUCCUCCUUAUGUCUCCAUCCCUGUCUUUGCUUCUCUCUGACUAUAAAUCAACUUCCUACGCCUUCUGAGCCUCACGCCUCACAACCUCAGCUCCAAAGGAGAGACAGGCCCUUUAUCUCGGUACCAGUUCAAAAAAAUCCCGGUGAAGAAGUCUGAAUGACUCAGGUUGGGUCGAGGUCCCGACCCUGGAGCCCUCAACUAUGGCCAACAGAGAGGGUCCUAUUACAGAAGCUUUGUGAAUAUUACUCUCACUAACUCUGGUUUGCUACGGCCACAAACAGCUGGAUGUAUUUCUUUCCCUCAUCCACGGCUCCUGACCUGGCAUCCUGACUCAUGGACUGCUGUCACCUGUCAUACCAGAUUUUGGUCCUGGUAACCCAUACCAGCCAUCUUGUCCUGGCAACCUCAUCAUCUCGGACCUCUCUCCACUUCUCAUCUUCCCCCAUUGGUAUGGAACCAGAUGAAACAAUGGAGAGAGAAGGACCAACUACUGGCUCUAGAGGGAGACACAACAGAGGACAGAACCGUGGGAGGAGAGAAUGAAUGUGUUAAAGAUAUACUGAGAAAAUCAAGAAAACUUGAAAAUAGAUUAGGUAUUAGAUGAGGAUCAUCCCUUACGUUUGCAGAGCUUGGGUCGAGAGUAGAAAUUUAAAUUAUUGGUCCAUAUGUUUCAAAAAAGUUUCAUCAUCUAAAACAGGAGUCUACAAACUCCAGUCCACAGGUCAAAUCCAGUCUUUGGCCUGUUUUUGUGGGACCCUUGAGCUAAAAAUGGUUUUUACAUUUUUAAAAAGAUUUGUUGAGAUAUAAUUCACACACCAUAAAGUUCACCUUUUUAGAGUGUAAAUUUCAGUGGUUUUCAGUAUAUUCAUAGAAUUGUACACCAUCAUCACUAUUUAAUUCCAGAAUACUUCAUCACCCCAAAAAGAAAUCUGUACCCAUUAGCAGUCACUGCCCAUUCCCCUAUCCCCCAGUCCCUGGCAACCAGUAAUCUACUUCCUGUCUCUAUGAAUUUACCUGUUCUGGACAUUUCAUAUAAAUGGAAUCAUACGACAUGUGGCCUGAUCUAUGUGAAUUCUUUUACUUAGCGUAAUGUUUUCAAGGUUCAUCCAUAUGAUAGCAUGUAGCAUAUGUGUAGCAUAUAUGAAUAGUAUUCCAUUGUAUGGAUAUAUCUGUGGUAUUUUCUGAUACCACUUAUGACCAAAUGUAUGGUUUUUCUCUCUGACACAAAAUACAUGUCAUUUUUCCACACCAACAACAAGCAAUUCUCAAACACCAACUGGGGGUCCAACAAUUCAAUUUGAUUCUAUCACUAACUGUCGGGAAUUAGCACAGACCCCACAGGUUCAGGGCUCAGUCCCACAGAACUUCCCCCACCUCAGAUGCGAGCCACAAAUGGGGUACCCAGGCAGGCUACUAACACUCCUUCCUCUCUGAGUACAAAUUCAGGAGCUUCCACCACCCCCCUCAGGUUCAAUAAUUCGCUAGAACAACUCACAGAACUCACAAAAAUGCUUUACUUACAAUUACUGGCUUAUUAUAAAGGAUACAAAUGAAGAGUCAAAUGGAAAGAUGCAUAGGGCGAGGUGUAGGGGGUGAGGCACAGAGCUUCUACACUCUCUCCAAGUGCCAUAUUCCCAACACACCCACAUGUUCACCAACCCAGAAGCUUCUGAAUCUCCCUGUUCAAGAGUUUUAAUAACCCAAUCUCUAGCUCCCCUCCCCUCCCUGGAGGUCAGGGGAUGGAGCUGAAAGUUUCCAACCUCUAAUCACAUGUUUGGUCUUUUUGGUGACCAGCCUCCAUCCUAAAGCUAUCUAGGGGCCACCCUGAGUCACCUCAUUAGCAUCAACUUGGGUGUAUUCUAAAGGGGCUCUAAGGAACAAUAAAAGGCACUCAUAUCAUUCA